CAUCAGUGAAGUGACCCCUAAAAUGUAAGUUUAAGACAUCUGAUUGACAAGUGUGACCACUGGGAAAAGUGUGAUUAUUUCACUCUGAGCACAAAAAUCACACUUAAGAUCACACCUUUCACUGUGGACUCUCUGACAGCACUGAGCAGUGCACGCAAGCACGUGGUAACACACUAUGCUUCUUACCAUACACUCGACUGGCUGACACAGGCACACAUGAUGACACUUUGCUGCAGCCUGUCAAAAACAAGAUCAGGUUUAUGAAACUGUCUGGCCUACGCUGGAUUGAGCCUAAUGAGUCUAAUUAGUGCAAGGAUUCAUUGGAGACUGGCAAGUUUUUUGGAAACUGUUCCAACUGUUUCAAUGACUCAAAACAAAAUCAUUCUUUUUUUUUUUCCUUUUUUUUUCCUGUCCCAUUUGGAUCUUUUGCCAUCAGAAUUAUUGUCUAAAGGCGAAGAAAGAUGCCCAACGGAUUUACUUUACCAAAUGGACCAUCCCAGCCUUGCCGUAAUGGUCUAUUUGAUUCACCUUUUAUUGUUUAUUUUAUUUCAUUUUCACUUGGUAAAUACGGGACAGACUUGACUGGGGAAAAGAAAGGGGAGAAAGAAAGAGGGGAAAAAACAGCGGGGAAGAGAGACGGGGAUAAAGGGCAAAAAACAAAAACCAACAAAAUAAGCAGACAAAAAAUCAAUCACUUGGAUCACCUGUUGAGAAAGAAAAAAGAGAAAACAAGCAGAAGAAAAAAAAGAGCAACAUAAUAAACAACAUCAUGAUGAUCUAUGGGAAUAUAACAGUAAAUACUAAGUAUUAAACAUUAUUGUGCAGCACGUAAGAUCGACAGCGCACAGUGUGCUUUGAGGUAGGAGCCAAAAAGGGUGUAGUUUUUGUGUAUGAGCACCCGUGUGUACACAUGAGCUUGUAUUACAGUUUUUCUCCAUUGGUUUGGCUCAUUUCUUGAAACAGAAAUUACAUUCUCAAAAUAACAUGGACAAACCUCCAAACCUCUUGGCAAAUGUUCACAACAGAAUGGCAUUUCUCAUUCAUUUUAUCAAGUGGCAAAUGCCUUAGUACAUGUCUCAAUUGUCUCAGUGCAUCUUUGCAAAUGAUUAAGUACAAGUAGCCUACAGUUAUACAGUUAGCCCACAUUUAGCACAAUUUCCAAAUGAAUAGAUCUUGUAGAUCUAAACUGAUUAGUUGAUUCUCAGUCUAAUGAUCAUUCCCUCCAAAACAUGUCAGCAUGAUUUCAUUGUAUAAGUACUCGCAUGCACAACUGUCUG
ensembl:lncRNA